rnacentral:rRNA from 1 species
AUUGAACGCUGGCGGCAGGCCUAACACAUGCAAGUCGAGCGGAUGAAGGGAGCUUGCUCCUGGAUUCAGCGGCGGACGGGUGAGUAAUGCCUAGGAAUCUGCCUGGUAGUGGGGGAUAACGUCCGGAAACGGGCGCUAAUACCGCAUACGUCCUGAGGGAGAAAGUGGGGGAUCUUCGGACCUCACGCUAUCAGAUGAGCCUAGGUCGGAUUAGCUAGUUGGUGGGGUAAAGGCCUACCAAGGCGACGAUCCGUAACUGGUCUGAGAGGAUGAUCAGUCACACUGGAACUGAGACACGGUCCAGACUCCUACGGGAGGCAGCAGUGGGGAAUAUUGGACAAUGGGCGAAAGCCUGAUCCAGCCAUGCCGCGUGUGUGAAGAAGGUCUUCGGAUUGUAAAGCACUUUAAGUUGGGAGGAAGGGCAGUAAGUGAAUACCUUGCUGUUUUGACGUUACCAACAGAAUAAGCCCCGGCUAACUUCGUG